GACGAACUGCCCAAACGUUGUUCGGAAUCACUGGGUUUAAAGGGGGCGUAGGUGGGUUGGUAAGUCAGUGGUGAAAUCUCCGUGCUUAACAUGGAAACUGCCAUUGAUACUACUGGUCUUGAAUUUUCUGGAGGUAAGCGGAAUAUGUCAUGUAGCGGUGAAAUGCUUAGAUAUGACAUAGAACACCAAUUGCGAAGGCAGCUUACUACAGGGACAUUGACACUGAGGCACGAAAGCGUGGGGAUCAAACAGG
rnacentral:rRNA from 1 species